UCUGAGAAGUGCUGGCUUAGGUCUUGGCUUAGGAAGGUGGCCAACCGCCCCGCCAUCGGCAAGGUCCCCAUGA
rnacentral:rRNA from 1 species